GUCCGGAUGGCUUAGUGGUCAGAGCAUCUGCCUACUAAGCAGGCAACCCAGGUUCGAGCCCUAGUCUGGCACA